rnacentral:rRNA from 1 species
UACGGAGGGGGCUAGCGUUGUUCGGAAUUACCGGGCGUAAAGAGCUCGUAGGCGGUUUGUCGCGUCGGCCGUGAAAACUUGGGGCUUAACUCCAAGCUUGCGGUCGAUACGGGCAGACUUGAGUUCGGCAGGGGAGACUGGAAUUCCUGGUGUAGCGGUGAAAUGCGUAGAUAUCGGGAAGAACACCAGUGGCGAAAGCGCUCUACUGGGCCAUAACUGACACUGAGGGACGAAAGCUAGGGGAGCGAAAGGG